CCUACGGGUGGCAGCAGUGAGGAAUAUUGGUCAAUGGGCGCUAGCCUGAACCAGCCAAGUAGCGUGAAGGAUGAAGGCCCUAUGGGUGGUAAACUUCUUUUAUAUGGGAAUAAAGUUCAAGAUGUAUACUGCUUUGCAUGUACCUUAUGAAUAAGGAUCGGAUAACUCAGUUCCAGCAGCCGCGGUAAUACGGAGGAGCGGAGGGUUAUCCGGAUUGAUUGGGGUUAAAGGGAGCGUAGGCGGGUUGUUAAGUCAGUUGUGAAAGUUUGCGGCUUAACCGUAAAAUUGCAGUUGAUACUGGCAUCCUUGAGUACAGUAGAGGUAGGCGGAAUUCGUGGUGUAGCGGUGAAAUGCUUAGAUAUCACGAAGAACUCCGAUUGCGAAGGCAGCCUGCUGGACUGUAACUGACGCUGAUGUUCGAAAGUGUGGGUAUCAAACAGGAUUAGAUACCCCUGUAGUC
rnacentral:rRNA from 1 species